rnacentral:rRNA from 1 species
GAUUAAGUUAUUAAGGGCGCACGGUGGAUGCCUUGGCACUAGAAGCCGAUGAAGGACGUUACUAACGACGAUAUGCUUUGGGGAGCUGUAAGUAAGCUUUGAUCCAGAGAUUUCCGAAUGGGGAAACCCAGCGCGAGUUAUGUCGUGUUAUCUGCAUGUGAAUACAUAGCAUGCAAGAAGGCAGACCCGGAGAACUGAAACAUCUUAGUACCCGGAGGAAGAGAAAGAAAAAUCGAUUCCCUGAGUAGCGGCGAGCGAAACGGGAAGAGCCCAAACCAAUAAGCUUGCUUAUUGGGGUUGUAGGACACUCUGUACGGAGUUACAAAAGAAUUUGUUAGACGAAUAACCUGGAAAGGUUAAUCAGAGAAGGUAAUAAUCCUGUAGUCGAAA